AUUGAACGCUGGCGGCAGGCCUAACACAUGCAAGUCGAGCGAGCGGCGGACGGGUGAGUAAUGUCUGGGAAACUGCCUGAUGGAGGUGGAUAACUACUGGAAACGGUAGCUAAUACCGCAUACCAUCAGAUGUGCCCAGAUGGGAUUAGCUAGUAGGUGGGGUACUGGCUAACCUAGGCGACGAUCCGUAGCUGGUCUGAGAGGAAGACCAGCCACACUGGAACUGAGACCCGGUCCAGACUCCUAGGGGAGGCAGCAGUGGGGAAUAUUGCGCAAUGGGCGCAAGCCUGAUGCAGCCAUGCCGCGUGUGUGAAGAAGGCCUUCGGGUUGUAAAGCACUUACAGCGGGGAGGCGUUACCCGCAGAAGAAGCACCGGCUAACUCCGUGCCAGCAGCCGCGGUAAUAC
rnacentral:rRNA from 1 species